GUGCUGGUUAUUGAUGAGGUAAUUUCUCUCUCUAGUUGGUUGAUGCUUUCAGAAUUGAGUUCAGAAAUUUAUUUUUGAACAUUUUCAGAUUAAAUAUAUGUGAAAGUUGGGUUAGAGUAAAUUUUCCUACCGCAUGAUUCGUUUUCUACACAGUAAGACCAGUACAUAGGCAAUCAUUUACUCUUGGGAAUCAUGUCAAUAACUCUAGACAUACAAUCUUUGUAAGGCACAUUUUUCUUGCCAUGUUAUAUAUUUGUAAC
rnacentral:misc_RNA from 1 species